AAUGGGCGCAAGCCUGAUGCAGCAACGCCGCGUGAACGAUGAAGGUUCUAUGAAUCGUAAAGUUCUGUUCUUGAGGAAGAAACAAAUGACGGUACUCAAGAAGAAAGCCCCGGCUAACUACGUGCCAGCAGCCGCGGUAAUACGUAGGGGGCAAGCGUUAUCCGGAAUUAUUGGGCGUAAAGGGUGCGUAGGUGGUUUUGUAAGCGUGGGGUCAAAGGCAAUAGCUUAACUAUUGUUCGCCCUGCGAACUGCGAAACUUGAGUGCAGGAGAGGUAAGUGGAAUUCCUAGUGUAGCGGUGAAAUGCGUAGAUAUUAGGAGGAACACCAGUGGCGAAGGCGACUUACUGGACUGUAACUGACACUGAGGCACGAAAGCGUGGGGAGCAAA
rnacentral:rRNA from 1 species